GGCGAGCCAUGCAGACGUCCCUCUGCACAGGCUUGCCUGCAUGAGGAGCCAUGGCUGCAGCCUAUCGCGGCCUCUGGCGCAGCUCACCUCGACACUUCUAGACUUAUCUCUUUUAUUGAGCGGAGGAAACAUCAGAAAGACCUACGACGUGGCCAGUUUCCGAUCAUUCCUGCGUAGGUGCCUACUUAGCCAGACCUGAGAGAAACGUAGAGUGGAAAUCCAAUAGUAAGCUUGUUCUCCUGCAGUUAUAUUAAGGAAUGUAUAGGUUAUAAAUAGGAAAUAUGCUGAAAUCUUAUCCUCCUUUUAGAGUCAUUCUGAAAUGGUUCUUGGUCUCUGUUACUGUAACUGCUGCUGACAAAACUCUGAAGUCCCCCUUUCCAACCCUUCAAAAAAAAAUUUCAGCUACAUGUACACGUUCUCUAUUUGUAUGGACAAAACUCAUGAGAAACAAAUGUGAAUUAAGAAGUGGGGGGGGGGGGGGAUUCUUUUGAAGUUUUUUUUUCCCUGAGCCAGAAAGGUUUAGCCUCAUUGGAGUACUGUAAUUUAUAUAGCUACAUGCAGGAAGGAUUACAUUUUGUACAGACCAUGUAUAGAAGCACAGUUAAGAUAAUAUCUUUAUCCUGAACGUUUUGGACAAAAGAAAAAAAAAAUCAUAUAAAGAUUUAAAGAGAAGUUAAAUAAGUUACACUAUGGUAUUCAUCUCAAGUUCCAUGUUUGAUAGACAUACUGUCAUAUUGGAAAUCAGGCAUAACAAAUGAAACAACUUUUAACAGCUGCAUCUCUUUCACACAAGUAAAGUAAAAAGUAAGCUUUUCAUUUCAAUUUGCAUCUGUCUAUCAGCCUUAUGUUGUAAAUAAACUGGACCUCCCUUCAUUCAUGUUAAUUUGCUGUGUUUGACAUGCUUUCUCAUUGGCUGAUCAUGACUUUCAACUGACCAGUUAGAAUACAAGCUGGAAAGCCGCUGAAGGCAGGAAGUUUUGGUAACCACAGCAAAUGUGCACUCUUUGUAACUUGUUGAAAUGUGCAAUGUUGGGGCUUUAACGUUCUGCAGCUAUUUAUAAUGAUUCGUGUUAAAUCAGCUUUGUUAAGUACAUGUAUUGGCCACUGCAAGUUGAGAUAUGAUGUGUCUGUGGCUCUUUCUGUGUUCAGUAUUAUUUUGUAAGCUUAAGCCUCAUUUAUUAAAAACCAUUUGUGUCUUUGUCACACUUUCGUCAUGAAUGUCAUUAUUUUUAUCGUUAUACCAAAGUUAAUCCUCAUUUAUCUAAAUGCUUCUCACUAUUUGGUGGUUAUAACUUAACAAUAAGUUAUGAAUGCAGUUCUGACUCCUGGAGCAGGAGUAUUGAUUGUUGAUUUAUUAAUUGUGUCUUGUUUUGUUUUUGUCAAUCAAAUUUAAUUGUAGAUGAAGUAAUGCUUCAUAUUUUAAAUUCCAUAUCUGCUCAUUGUAGCAACAGUCUGUUAAUGUAAGUUUGCAUGACUAAAUGACAAGAAUUAUCCUUUGUUUUAAAUACAUUGAGAUGAAUUGUUCCCCGUGUACUGUAUAUGUUGUACAGGAAGAAAGUACCAAGUUAAUUGCCUCCAUAUUGUGGGUUGAAGUUUAAGAGGCAAGUUGCAGUGGUCUAAUAAUUCAAAAUAGCAACUGUCAACCCUUGUCACUAAAACCUAGUUGCAAUUAUUUUAGUGCUGAAUAAAAAGGAGGUAAAUAAUAUGCUGGCUCAGUUACUGUAUGUUAGUAUGAUUUUUCAUGUUUAUAUUAAGUUAGUUUCUCAUAAUGCAUAAAUGUAUACCCUGUUUUUUUACAUACUGUAACAAUGUCAUUUUGAAUGCUUUUGACUCAAUAUUAAUUUUGCAUGUAUAUUUCUUUGUACAGAAACCAUAUAUGUUUACACAUUCUGUGCUGAACAUAAGUUACUUUAUCCUCAGUUAUUUUUGAGAUUAAACAUCUGAAACAUUUUAUUUGUACAACUAGUCUCCAGUGUCUUUGUUUAUAAAGUGUUUCUCCUUUUCGUGUUCGUGGGAUUGGAGGAAUUAUUCAACAGCAUUGUUGCCGUACAGUAAGUUUGAUGUGGUGUAUAAAACUACCCUGAUCUGAAGAUUAUUUUUACACAUUUCCUGUCUACGUCUCUUGAGGCUUCACCCAAACCAUGUGAAAACCAUCCGGAGAGGCUGAGGCAGCAGGCAGGUGUGAAAACUGCAUCUGCAGGUGCUGAGAUCUUAGUAAGAUCCCAAAACAGAUAAAUGACUGAUUAAACUUCCCCUGAUCUUAUCGCAGUGGACUCAACUUGUGCAGGUGACUGUAAAUGCAUUAGAAUGUAUUAAUUUGUUUGCAGAACAAAAAAAAUAUCAAGAAUCCUUAGGUGCAGAUUUUAUUAUAUAUAACCAAACAUCCAAUAAAAUGCAUUUGUGUGGUCA